GUGUGUUAUUACCUGAUCUGUAACGCUCAUCCCGAGUGCCACCGCUCCUGUGUGCUCGCCGUGCACGACGAUGCCGAGAGGAGGAGGAGCUUGAGGAGGCGUUGCUAGAAGAGAGGAGUGAAGGACAAGAAAGGAGAAGAAAGGAGAUGUAAACACGGCCUGUGUGGACGGGGAGGAGACUGAGAGGAGACUGAAAGGAGCUCUCACCCUCGGACAGCUCCAGGUCGAGCUCAGCCAGCUGCUCCCGGACCUCCGGCGGCAGAGCGCUCACAUCCACGGGCCUCUCCGCCAUCAUCUCUCCGGGAUGAAACCGGGGCUUCCCCGGAACCCACACCGGACAAACAACAACAACGACAACAAUCCGCUUCCGGCUGCUCUCGGUAAACGGCGGCUGUUCAGCAGCAGCACAACAACAGCGAGCUCCAUCCGUGAACCCUCUCCGCUCCUCAGCGCCGCGUCUCCGCCAUGAGACAGAGAGAGAGAGAGAGAGAGAAACCCCGGGACCGGUGGAGAGGGUCACGUGACACACACUCCGGAGCUCGCGACUCCGGGAUCGGUGCUCCCUCUGCUGUUUCAGCGCGGAGAACGCUCUGUUCAAGUGUUUCUUUACAUGAAGGAGGUUUGAGUUAAAAUCACUGAACCACGAUUUAAAUGGCAGAUUUCAGACACUACAUCAUGUGUAGGGGAGAGCGGGGUAAAGCUGUCACACUGUUCAUACCUCCUACAGACACAGACAUCAACACCGACACCAAAACCGACACAAACACCAACAGACACCAACACCAACAGACACCAACAGACACAAACACCAACAGACACCGACACAAACACCAACAGACACAGACACCGACAACAACACAAACACCAACAGACACCGACAACAACACAAACACCAACAGACACCGACACAAACAACGACACACACAAACACCAACAGACACAGACACCAACAGACACUGACAACAACACAAACACCAACAGACACCGACACCGACAACAACACAAACACCAACAGACACCGACACAAACAACGACACACACAAACACCAACAGACACUGACAACAACACAAACACCAACAGACACCGACACAAACAACGACACACACAAACACCAACAGACACUGACAACAACACAAACACCAACAGACACCGACACAAACAACGACACACACAAACACCAACAGACACAGACACCGACACAAACACCAACAGACAGACACAAACAACAACACAAACACCGACAGACACCGACACAAACACCAACAGACAGACACAAACAACAACACAAACACCGACAGACACCGACACAAACACCAACAGACACCGACACAAACAACGACACACACAAACACCAACAGACACAGACACCGACACAAAAAAAUUUGUUGGUACAAAUUGCUGUUUUGCGUAUGGAGCUCAGAAGCUCACAAAAAUAAGUGAAUGAAUUUUGAAGGCUGUAUUUGAAGUUGCUCUCCAACAGUUAAAGAAACUGAAGCAACAUUAAUUACAUAUGAGAUGUGAAAAUUCAUGUUAAAAUCCAAAGACAGAUCUGAGAGGAGAGUUUAGGAUUUCAGCUUUUAUUUUUAUUUCUUUGCAUCAGACCACUCAAUUUUUAGGUGAGCAAAAGUAUUGGAACAGACAGUCUUGAAGUAGAUUAAAUAACAUUUAAUAUUUGGAUGCAUGUCCGUCGCUUGUAGUAACUGCAUCACUCCUGCGACUCACUGACACCAAACUGCUGGUUUCUUCUUCUGUGAAGCUUCUCCAGGUUUUUCCUGCAGCUUCUUUCAGUAGUUGUUUGUUUUGGGGGGUUUCUCCCUUCAGUCUCCUCUUCAGGAGGUGAAAUGCUGAUUAGUUGGGUGAAGGUCUGGUGAUGGACUUGUCCAGUAUAAAACCUUCCACUUUUCCCAGUUCUGGCCCCGCUGCUUCUCCGACUGAUUUACAUUUAAUUUUGAAUUUGAAAUAUAAAAUAUCUUCACAAUGACUCGUGUGUACUUACGUGCUAAAAAUUCAAUGUAAUUUAUAACUCUGUACUGAAAUAUGAUAUGAAGAUAUGCAAAUGUAAUAAACGCAAACUAUGUGCCUGAGACUUCCUUCUAUAAAUUGCUGGCACAAUUCUAAAAUUGCAUGGGUCAAAGCUCACUAAAACUCUCCAAACCUGAGAAAAAAAAUCGAACUCAAAAUCCCGAUUUACCUUCCCAAAAUCCCGACUUACCGUCCCAAAAUCCCUACUAACCGUCCCAAAAUCCCAAUUUACCGUCCCAAAAUCCCUACUAACUGUCCCAAAAUCCCGACUUACCGUCCCAAAAUCCCUACUAACUGUCCCAAAAACCCGACUUACCGUCCCAAAAUCCCGAUUUACCGUCCCCAAAAUCCCUACUUACCGUCCCCAAAAUCCCUACUAACUGUCCCAAAAUCCUGACUUACCGUCCCAAAAUCCCAAUUUACCGUCCCAAAAUCCAGACUUAGUCCCAAAAUCCCGAUUUAAUAAGGAAGGUUGGUGUUCGUGAGCGGAGAACAGUGCUGCAAAGUGAAAACCCUCGACUCUGCUGAGUUCCAUCAAAUGUUUAUUUAUUACAAUAUAUCUUCAGGACCAUUUCAUUUAGUUCAUAUACAGACAGCGAUGCUGCGACACUCGUUUAUUAUUUUAUAUACUCACUGAUAUUUACAGCUCCGUAGAGUUCGGCCGAGGAGCGACACUCACACGUGAUACACACAAAGGAUACGCUCUUCAUUCAUAUUCAUAAAGCACAUCACACACACA